rnacentral:lncRNA from 1 species
CAGUAUCAAUUACACAAAAUAGGAUCCCUACCACCAAGUACAGCAGCAAUGAACAAAAGUGGAGCAACAAUUUCCAACACUAACUACAUUAACUAGCCUAAAUUACAAACGAUUUUUUUAGAAACUUGACUCAGCCCAUCAACAAAAGCAAGAACCACAACAAAGUCAUAUGAUUAAGGCCACUAGUAGAACAACAAACACUACUGUGUUCCUCCAUUUUUUUGCUCGAUCUCUUUCUUGAUCAAAUGCCUUCACUCUCUUCAACAAACCUCAUAUAACUUUAUUCGCUUACUCAGGAAAUUCGUCCUCAAACCAUCUAAAAUAUUUACAUCCCCCAUUGUCCUUCAAAAAAAAAUGAACUAAUAUAAGUCAAUGGCAAAUAAAAUCGUAUAAAAAAUUUUUGUGUGAAAAACACUUACUUUGCCAAUUUUGCAUACAAAGUACCUUCUUCCUGGGUUAGCAUCACUCCAUGAAAUUUCAGUUCACACGGACGACCACAACGACACCAGUCAACCCUUUUGGUGCUUUGAAACAUUAUUCGAACAGAAAUUAAGAGAAGUAGCAGGAAAGAUUACGUCAAAAAUUCGACUAAGGAGGAUGGAGUUCUUUCAAAUUGAAAAAAAUAAAGCUUUGAUUUUCACUUCUUGAUGAAGAAUUUAGCUUAGUUGAAAUGGAGAGAAAUUAGGGCUUGGGAGAAGAUAAUGAUGGAGAAAAGGGUUAAAAUAAGGAAAAUAACGUGGGGUUUGGUUUAUUACUGUUGGAAUAAUCCAUGUCAGCUUUUUUAAUAAUCCUCAUGUGCUAAACAUCUGUGAUUCCCACGCAAGGUGGCCCAUGUAUUUUUUGUGUCUAAGUAACACAGUAAUAACCUGUUAUAGGGUUCAAAUGAAACAGACUCAAGAUAAAG